GGUGCUCACUCUUGUGUGAAGGAGGUUUUUGUACGGCGACUUCACCACAAUGAAUCACUGUGGUGGACUUUUGGAAGCGGCACAAAACUGGUGGUGAAAAGUAAGUCCAUUUUUGUCUUUCUCUCAUAAAACUAAUUGUAAUCAUGCUAUUGAACAACGCUGGUCCCUCUGUCAGGCCCAAAGUGUCUCUGCUCCCCCCGUCCUCUGAGCAGCUCUCCGAGGGCUCGGCCACACUGGUCUGCCUGCUGAGUGACUACUCCCCCCAGGGGGCGAUGGUGAGCUGGGAGGUAGACGGGGCAGAGGUGAAGGAGGGGGUCCUGACCACCACAGAAGAAGAGAAGGGUGGCCGCUACAGUUGCAGCAGCACCCUGACCCUGAGCAAGGCACGCUGGGAAGAGGGAGAGGUCUACACCUGCAGGGUCGCCCACGACGACACCAGUGACUCGGCCGCCUUCCGGAAAAGUCACUGUAGUGUCUAGAAGCCAUUGUAGGGGGCUAGAGAUUCCCCACAUGGUGCAAAACAUUAGUGUUUUAGAGCUGAAUGUUCCAGUAUAAUAGUAUAAUAGUGAAUAAUAUCAGUAGUGCAGUGUGCUAAACCAUUUUGAGAUUUAGUUGUACAUGUCGUCUUGCCUUCAAGUUCAAAUAAAGCUUGUUAUGAUUAAAAAAUAA